rnacentral:rRNA from 1 species
AUGGCUCCACGACUAAGUCCUAGCUUGAGGACAUCUGCCGUGACAAUUCCACGACAGUUGGCGCCCACCGUGGGGCCAGCGCACGGUGGAUUUGAGUUCUUGAAGGGCAACUUCGAAGGGCUCAAGGGAUACGCUGUGGGCCGGAUGACUAAGAGUCGUCACGGCAAGCUCUACAUCGACGAUGCAAGCUGGGGCCCCGACGCCGGCUCAAUUGAGUACGGGUACUGGGUCCCCUUCGGCGGAAUUCAUGUCUUCAUUGGCAAGAUUGGUGAGCCGGGCCCUGAGCCGGAUCUCUGCGCCGAUCUCAUCGAGACGGCUCAGCGCGCACGACCCACCCGGGCCCUGCCUGUCCUGAAGCAUGAUUUUGUGGGAUGUGUCCAUGGAGGGCUCUCUGAUGGAUCUGCAUCUGGUGAUGAGACGGCCGCCGGCUCUGACGGCGAGUCGUCCGCAGAUGAGUCAAACUCAUUGUAUCAACUUCAAGACGGCAGGCUCAUGGGUGGUUCCGACGGUGACAGUAUUCCGGACCCUUUUGAGCCGCCGAGCCGGGUUGGAAUCUUCAUGGCCGGUGCACAGCCUGUUCAAAACCCUGCCGCCGGGUCAGGAAAUCCGGUACCUUCGCCGGCUCAGGUGCUGAUGGAUCUCACGGACAAGAUGACGGCCCUGUUGACCGCCACGGUUGACCCGGCGGACCAAGCUCAGCAUGACGUGGAGGUGGCGCAGUUAAAGUUAGAUCUAGUGAAAGCCAAAGAUGAUCUGGCAGCGGAAGGAAUCAGGAUGGCUGCGGAGAGGGCGGCUCUCGACACCCAGACUCAGCUGAUUCAGGCACAGUCCUUCCGACUCACGAUGGAUCAGAACGCGUCCAAUGAGGUCAUGAGAAGGAGGCAUCAAAAGGCCCAAUCUCGACUCCCUCCGGUCUACGAUCCUCGAAACCUCUUCAACACGCCAGGUGCAGGGUCUAGUAACCCGCCGGGGGUCAUGGUGCCCGGGUCCGGGACCCCUGUUCAGCCACAAGUGAUGGGGCCUCCCCGAGUGAACCCUGCCCCACCUCAGUAUUUGGCAAUACCACCGGGUCAUUAUGCUAACCCGCUGGUUGUAUCAAAUCGCAUCGCCCGUUGUAGCAUCUUGCCCGUCGCCGGGACCUCGCCGUCGGCCAUUGUAGCACUUUUGGCCAAUGGUUGUAGCAUUUUUGGGCGCCUGUGCAGUAAAAAUCGCUUCACCACGGCUCAUGGAAUCCACAAGGGUUGCAGGCGACCAUGCAGGGAGUUAGCGGGGAUGUGA